UACGGGGGGGGCAAGCGUUGUUCGGAAUUACUGGGCGUAAAGGGCUUGUAGGUGGCCAACUAAGUCAGACGUGAAAUCCCGCGGCUCAACCGUGGAACUGCCUCAGAUACUGACGGUCUCGAGGGAGGUAGGGGCGAGCGGAACUGUGAGUGGAGCGGUGAAAUGCGUUGAUAUUCACAGGAACUCCGGUGGCGAAGGCGGCUCGCUGGACCUCUUCUGACGCUGAGGCGCGAAAGCCAGGG
rnacentral:rRNA from 1 species